rnacentral:rRNA from 1 species
AUUGAACGCUGGCGGCAGGCCUAACACAUGCAAGUCGAGCGAGCGGCGGACGGGUGAGUAAUGUAUGGGGACUGCCCGUUAGAGGGGGAUAACUACUGGAAACGGUGGCUAAUACCGCAUCCUAUCGGAUAACCCAUAGGGGAUUAGCUAGUAGGUGGGGUACAGGCUCACCUAGGCGCCGAUCUCUAGCUGGUCUGAGAGGAUGAUCAGCCAGACUGGGACUGUGACACGGCCCAGAGUGAUACGGAGGCAGCAGUGGGGAUGAUUGCACAAUGGGCGCAAGCCAGAUGCAGCCAUGCCACGUGUAUGAAGAAGGCCUUAGGUUUGUAAAGUAAUGUCAGCGGGGAGGCGUUACCCGCAGAAGAAGCACCGGCUAAAUCCGUGCCAGCAGCCGCGGUAAUUC